rnacentral:rRNA from 1 species
UAGGGAAUAUUGCGCAAUGAACGGAAGUUUGACGCAGCGACGCCGCGUGAGGGAUGAAGGUUUUCGGAUCGUAAACCUCUGUCAAGAGGGAAGAAGUGUAUGCACUCUAACAUAGUGUGUAUUUGACGGUACCACCAGAGGAAGCACCGGCUAACUCCGUGCCAGCAGCCGCGGUAAUACGGAGGGUGCAAGCGUUAUUCGGAAUUACUGGGCGUAAAGGGUAUGUAGGCGGCCCUUCAAGUCGCGUGUCAAAGUCCAGUGCUCAACGCUGGGUGUGCACGCGAUACUGACGGGCUUGAGGGCUGGAGAGGUGAGCGGAAUUCCCGGUGUAGUGGUAAAAUACGUAGAGAUCGGGAGGAACACCAGCGGCGCAGGCGGCUCACUAGACAGUUUCUGACGCUAAGAUACGAAAGCGUGGGGAGCAAACA